GACGAACGCUGGCGGCGUGCUUAACACAUGCAAGUCGAACGGAAAGGCCCUGCUUGUUUGGGGUGCUCGAGUGGCGAACGGGUGAGUAACACGUGAGUAACCUGCCCUUGACUUUGGGAUAACUUCAGGAAACUGGGGCUAAUACCGGAUAGCAGCUCCUGCUGCAGGGUGGGGGUUGGAAAGUUUCGGCGGUUGGGGAUGGACUCGCGGCUUAUCAGCUUGUUGGUGGGGUAGUGGCUUACCAAGGCUUUGACGGGUAGCCGGCCUGAGAGGGUGACCGGCCACAUUGGGACUGAGAUACGGACCAGACUCCUACGGGAGGCAGCAGUGGGGAAUAUUGCACAAUGGGCGGAAGCCUGAUUAAGAAACGCCGCGUGCGGGAUGACGGCCUUCGGGUUGUAAACCGCUUUCGCCUGUGACGAAGCGUGAGUGACGGUAAUGGGUAAAGAAGCACCGGCUAACUACGUG
rnacentral:rRNA from 1 species